UCCGAGUUGACCCCGGCAGUCUCCUAUGAGUCCCCGGCAUGACCCGCUGGCAACAUAGAGCGAAGGUUGCGCUCGUUGCGGGACUUAACCCAACAUCUCACGACACGAGCUGACGACAACCAUGCACCACCUGUAUACCGCCCUUGCGGACCCCAUAUCUCUAUGAGUUUUCGGUAUAUGUCAAGCCUUGGUAAGGUUCUUCGCGUUGCUUCGAAUUAAGCCACAUGCUCCGCCGCUUGUGCGGGCCCCCGUCAAUUCCUUUGAGUUUUAGCCUUGCGGCCGUAGUCCCCAGGCGGGGUGCUUAAUGCGUUAGCUGCGGCACGGAAGCAGUGGAUUAUCUCCCACACCUAGCACCCAUCGUUUACGGCGUGGACUAC
rnacentral:misc_RNA from 1 species